rnacentral:sRNA from 1 species
AGCGCGAGGAGAAAGAUGGCGGCGAUGGCGGUCGGGGGUGCUGGUGGGAGCCGCGUGUCCAGCGGGAGGGACCUGAAUUGCGUCCCCGAAAUAGCUGACACACUAGGGGCUGUGGCCAAGCAGGGGUGAGGGCCGGACCUCCACGAGCGGAAUGCGGGGUCCGAACUCGGGGACGGAGAAGGGCAGACUAGUCAUCCCGGAGAAGCAGGGGUUUGAUUUCCUCUGCAUGCCUGUCUUCCAUCCGCGUUUCAAGAGGGAGUUCAUUCAGGAACCUGCUAAGAAUCGGCCCGGUCCCCAGACACGAUCAGACCUACUGCUGUCAGGAAGGGGUAGGGACCAUCCCAUAUGCCCCUUAAUUAUUAGAGGCAACAACAACUUCUGCUUUAUCGGGGCCCUCAUUCUCCUCCUUUUCUGACUUGGAUAUAUUUGUUAGUCCCUGGGAUAUAGAUAACUUGUUUUCUCCUUGCUUCUCUAUUCUGCAUCAGGCUAUCCCAUGUCUAUGUAGAAAAAACCUUUGUCUCUCAUUUCUACUCUUGAUUCCCAAAACUAAAAAUUGAACAAGU